rnacentral:rRNA from 1 species
UACGUAGGCAGCGAGCGUUGUUCGGAGUUACUGGGCGUAAAGCGUGCGCAGGCGGUUUUGUAAGUCAGAUGUGAAAUCCCCCGGGGCUUAACCUGGGAACUGCGUUUGAAACUACAAGGCUAGAGUGUGGCAGAGGGGGGUGGAAUUCCACGUGUAGCAGUGAAAUGCGUAGAGAUGUGGAGGAACACCGAUGGCGAAGGCAGCCCCCUGGGUUAACACUGACGCUCAGGCACGAAAGCGUGGGGAGCAAACAGG